UUUUUUUUUCCCUCUGGAACAAACUAAAAAGGCUUUGGCAAGGCAGGGUCUUACAACAUCAAACUGUACUGAAGGCAGAUUUCCACAAAGUGCUUGCACAGCACAGAAAGUUUAAGUGUUGGCACCGAGACAGAAAUGGAUGUCUGACCCAAUAGUUCAUUUAUGCUCAUCCGUCACUGAGGAAGAUGGAUACUGCAGAGGAGUUGAUUAGGCUGUGAUUCAUCAUUCCUCUUUCUAGAGCUGAGUUACACCAGAUACUUUCUGCUAGUGAGCAUUAUGUGAUUGUUUUAUUUGAUGAUGGCAUGUUUUAUUUGUUAA
rnacentral:lncRNA from 1 species